GCUUACGGCCAUACCACCUUAGGCACGCCCGAUCUCAUCUGAUCUCAGAAGUUAAGCAGGGUCGGGCCUGGUUAGUACUUGGAUGGGUGACCGCCUGGGAAUACCAGGUGCUGUAAGCA
rnacentral:rRNA from 1 species